AGAACGACUCUCGGCAACGGAUAUCUCGGCUCUCGCAUCGAUGAAGAACGUAGCGAAAUGCGAUACUUGGUGUGAACUGCAGAAUCCCGUGAACCAUCGAGUCUUUGAACGCAAGUUGCGCCCGAAGCCUUCUGGCCGAGGGCACGUCUGUCUGGGCGUCACGC
rnacentral:rRNA from 1 species